rnacentral:rRNA from 1 species
GAUGAACGCUGGCGGCGUGCUUAACACAUGCAAGUCGAACGAAGCACUUUAUUUGAUUUCCUUCGGGACUGAUUAUUUUGUGACUGAGUGGCGGACGGGUGAGUAACGCGUGGGUAACCUGCCUUGUACAGGGGGAUAACAGUUGGAAACGGCUGCUAAUACCGCAUAAGCGCACGGCAUCGCAUGAUGCAGUGUGAAAAACUCCGGUGGUAUAAGAUGGACCCGCGUUGGAUUAGCUAGUUGGUGAGGUAACGGCCCACCAAGGCGACGAUCCAUAGCCGACCUGAGUGGGUGACCGGCCACAUUGGGACUGAGACACGGCCCAAACUCCUACGGGAGGCAGCAGUGGGGAAUAUUGCACAAUGGGCGAAAGCCUGAUGCAGCGACGCCGCGUGAGCGAAGAAGUAUUUCGGUAUGUAAAGCUCUAUCAGCAGGGAAGAUAAUGACGGUACCUGACUAAGAAGCACCGGCUAAAUACGUGCCAGCAGCCGCGGUAAUACGUAUGGUGCAAGCGUUAUCCGGAUUUACUGGGUGUAAAGGGAGCGCAGGCGGUGCGGCAAGUCUGAUGUGAAAGCCCGGGGCUCAACCCCGGUACUGCAUUGGAAACUGUCGUACUAGAGUGUCGGAGGGGUAAGCGGAAUUCCUAGUGUAGCGGUGAAAUGCGUAGAUAUUAGGAGGAACACCAGUGGCGAAGGCGGCUUACUGGACGAUAACUGACGCUGAGGCUCGAAAGCGUGGGGAGCAAACAAGAUUAGAUACCCUGGUAGUCCACGCCGUAAACGAC